AGUGAACGCUGGCGGUAGGCCUAACACAUGCAAGUCGAACGGCAGCACAGUAAGAGCUUGCUCUUACGGGUGGCGAGUGGCGGACGGGUGAGGAAUACAUCGGAAUCUACUUUUUCGUGGGGGGUAACGUAGGGAAACUUACGCUAAUACCGCAUACGACCUACGGGUGAAAGCAGGGGAUCUUCGGACCUUGCGCGAUUGAAUGAGCCGAUGUCGGAUUAGCUAGUUGGCGGGGCAAAGGCCCACCAAGGCGACGAUCCGUAGCUGGUCUGAGAGGAUGAUCAGCCACACUGGAACUGAGACACGGUCCAGACUCCUACGGGAGGCAGCAGUGGGGAAUAUUGGACAAUGGGCGCAAGCCUGAUCCAGCCAUACCGCGUGGGUGAAGAAGGCCUUCGGGUUGUAAAGCCCUUUUGUUGGGAAAGAAAAGCAGCAGGUUAAUACCCCGCUGUUCUGACGGUACCCAAAGAAUAAGCACCGGCUAACUUCGUG
rnacentral:rRNA from 1 species